GAUGAACGCUGGCGGCGUGCCUAAUACAUGCAAGUCGAGCGAACAGACGAGGAGCUUGCUCCUCUGACGUUAGCGGCGGACGGGUGAGUAACACGUGGAUAACCUACCUAUAAGACUGGGAUAACUUCGGGAAACCGGAGCUAAUACCGGAUAAUAUAUUGAACCGCAUGGUUCAAUAGUGAAAGACGGUUUUGCUGUCACUUAUAGAUGGAUCCGCGCCGCAUUAGCUAGUUGGUAAGGUAACGGCUUACCAAGGCGACGAUGCGUAGCCGACCUGAGAGGGUGAUCGGCCACACCGGAACUGAGACACGGUCCAGACUCCUACGGGGGGCAGCCGUUGGGAAUCUUCCGCAAUGGGCGAAAGCCUGACGGAGCAACGCCGCGUGAGUGAUGAAGGUCUUCGGAUCGUAAAACUCUGUUAUUAGGGAAGAACAAAUGUGUAAGUAACUAUGCACGUCUUGACGGUACCUAAUCAGAAAGCCACGGCUAACUACGUG
rnacentral:rRNA from 1 species